rnacentral:rRNA from 1 species
UACAGAGGGUGCGAGCGUUGUCCGGAAUCACUGGGCGUAAAGGGCGCGUAGGCGGCUUAAUAAGGUUGCGGUGAAAGCCCGGGGCUCAACCCCGGGUCGGCCGUGGCAACUGUCGAGCUGGAGCACUGUAGAGGCAGGUGGAAUUCCGGGUGUAGCGGUGGAAUGCGUAGAGAUCCGGAAGAACACCGGUGGCGAAAGCGACGUGCUGGACCUCUUCUGACGCUGAGGCGCGAAAGCCAGGGGAGCGAACGGG